rnacentral:rRNA from 1 species
GUAGGUGGCAAGCGUUGUCCGGAAUUAUUGGGCGUAAAGCGCGCGCAGGCGGUUCUUUAAGUCUGAUGUGAAAGCCCACGGCUCAACCGUGGAGGGUCAUUGGAAACUGGAGAACUUGAGUACAGAAGAGGAAAGCGGAAUUCCACGUGUAGCGGUGGAAUGCGUAGAGAUGUGGAGGAACACCAGUGGCGAAGGCGGCUUUCUGGUCUGUAACUGACGCUGAGGCGCGAAAGCGUGGGGAGCAAACAGGAUUAGAUACCCUGGUAGUCCACGCCGUAAACGAUGAGUGCUAAGUGUUAGGGGGUUUCCGCCCCCCUUAGUGCUGCAGCUAACGCAUUAAGCACUCCGCCUGGGAGUACGGCCGCAAGGCUG